UGCCCAAGAAGUCUCGCUUGCCGUUGAUCAAUGGGAAAAAAUUAUCCGAGUUCUCGUAUACCCACUCUGGGAAGCGAUUUUUGAAAAAUGCACGCAUCUUGGUUGAUGAGGGCCUUGGUAAGGCCAGGGCUUUUCGUCUUAUGACAGACAAUGGGCCAAAGACCGUGCUUUCUGCUGGGUAUGCUGAUGAGAUUCGCAGCCACCCUUUGCUGAACUUUGGGGCCGCUAUUGCGAAGGAAUUUCACGCCGACAUCAGAGGCUUUGACACAUUCAAGCA
rnacentral:sRNA from 1 species